UUCAUAUAUCGAAUAUUUUUGAAAUCUCAACAAUAACACACGUCGACAAGAUUCUGCCGCGUUUUUCUUUUUGAUUUCUUUCAGACUGAUGAUCUCGGGACCCAAGACCAAGACAAGGACGACCCCAAAGACGAUUUGAAGACGAGUGACCGAGCCCCAACAGAGAUGAAGCCAGAGACGACGACCGCCCUGUGAGGAGAAGAAACUUUAUUGAGAUUUUACCGGAUGCACUGAAUUGGUGCUUCAACGACAUCAAGCAGAUUCAGACAGGAUGGACCAGAGAUGACGGGAGGCAGAUCCAGGACCAGUGCAUGACUCGUGAGACCAUGCAAUUAACACAAGAGCCAUCUCUCCAAGACCCCCGAUCUUAUGAAAGAUCAGAUCAAUAACCAAAUGAAAAGGUUUCUCUGGAUCUGGAGCUGCAUGUUUCUGAUCUGCUGUUGUCGGCCUCAGCGACCUCCAAAGUCUUCAUGUUCUCUCCUUCCUCUCUACCCUCAACCCAACCAGAAGGUUUUUAAAACUUCCCAACAACAGGAAGUUUUUUUCCUUCACACUGGCACCACAUGGUUGAUCUGAUCAUACGGCAAAAAGAGAGAUCCUCAAAUAAAAAACAAAAGAACACAACAGAACUCUGUUUGUUUUAAAGUGUAACAUAAUGCACCCUUCCUUUUAUACUUAUUUUUGGAGAGCAUGUGUUAUGGUUCUCAAACUAAAUUAGUUUAAAAAAAUGUGCUUUCAAACCACUGGUUUCUCACAAACACCUGGACUCCAUCUUAAAACUGCACAGCAUUUGAACAUACUGCUGGUUGAGUGUUUACUUGGAGUAAAUACACUAACAUUAACAGAUUGUAUCUGAAAUUCAGUCAUAAUGUGCACCAACUAGUGUCUGUUGUGGUUGACAAUAAAGUAGCUAUUCUGUUCUAUUCUGAUUAAUCCCUGCUUAUGCUGCAUCCUUGUCCUAGAUUACAGGAUGCAUUCAGUCCCUGGAUGUGUUCCAGGCAGAAAAGUUAGAUUUGGUUACAAUAGGAGGAGCAGUUUAAGUGUUUCGGUCUUGUAGAUUGUUUCAGAAUGAAAAGUGCAGAUUUGAAAUCCUCAGUGUGUGUGUGGUCAGUCAUUAGAGAUGCUCCAACCUGAGCUGUGCAACAUAACCAACUAUUAUGCAUUGUUGCCUGUUUUGGUUCUCCCUUGUGUCGUAUGCUGUUCACUGCAAUUCAACA